ACAUAAUCACACGCAUCAAACACUUUAAAAUUUUUUUAAAUAUUAUAGAAAUUAUAGACCCAUAGGUAAUUACUGUUCUCUUUUACAUUUAAAGUACGAACAGUAAUUACAAAAUAAAUCUUUGUCAAAUAAAUGAAAAACUAUUUAAUUUCUUUAAUUAAACUAUUCAUAUCUAGAUAUACUGUAUAUAUUCUAUCUAAAGGUACCUUUUGAUAGAUGAAGGUUGACAUAGUCGGUAAUUAAAUCCCCUCAAGGCUUUAAAAAUGUUAGCAAAAUUACUAAACAUUCUGAAAGUUUUAAUAUUUGAUUGUCUACCACUCUAUAAAAUAUUUUUCAAAAAAACAUAGUUAUUAACAGCCUUUAAUAAGAUGUUUUGCACUUAUUUUUAUUAGAGAUAUCGUCGUGAUGACAAAGAGAAGGGAAAAAGUGACUCCAGUGAUGAUGAUAAUUAUGAGCCAUAUAUUCCCCUGAAAGAAAGAAAAAAGGAAAAGCUUGUGAAGUUGCGUCGUUUAGGAACUAUAUUGCAA